GAUGAACGCUAGCUACAGGCUUAACACAUGCAAGUCGAGGGACCGGCGCACGGGAGAGUAACACGUAUCCAACCUGCCCUUUACUCGGGGAUAGCCUGUAGCAAGAAAGAUUAAUACCCGAUGUAAAGGAUGGGGAUGCGUUCCAUUAGGUUGUUGGUGAGGGAACGGCUCACCAAGCCGUCGAUGGAUAGGGGUUCUGAGAGGAAGGUCACCCAGAUUGGAACGGAGACACGGACCAAACUCGUACGGGAGGCAGCAGUGAGGAAUAUUGGGCAAUGGGGGUUAGCCUGAACCAGCCAAGUAGCGUGAAGGAUGAAGGCUUAGGGGACGUAAACAUCUGUUAUAUAAGAAUAUGUAUUAUAUGAAUAAGGAUCGGCUAACUCCGUGCCAGCAGCCGCGGUAAUUC
rnacentral:rRNA from 1 species